AACGAACGCUGGCGGCAUGCCUAACACAUGCAAGUCGAACGGGAUCCUGGCUUCGGCCAGGUGAGAGUGGCGGACGGGUGAGUAACGCGUGGGAACCUGCCCAUUGGUCUGGGAUAACUGCGGGAAACUGCAGCUAAUACCGGAUGUACCCGAGAGGGGAAAGAUUUAUCGCCGAUGGAGGGGCCCGCGUCAGAUUAGGUAGUUGGUGAGGUAACGGCUCACCAAGCCUACGAUCUGUAGCUGGUCUGAGAGGAUGAUCAGCCACACUGGGACUGAGAUACGGCCCAGACUCCUACGGGAGGCAGCAGUGGGGAAUAUUGGACAAUGGGGGCAACCCUGAUCCAGCAAUGCCGCGUGAGUGAUGAAGGCCUUAGGGUUGUAAAGCUCUUUUACCAGGGACGAUGAUGACGGUACCUGGAGAAUAAGCCCCGGACUAACUUCGUGCCAGCAGCCGCGGUAAU
rnacentral:rRNA from 1 species